rnacentral:rRNA from 1 species
CAGCCGCCACGGGAAUACAGAGGGUGCGAGCGUUAAUCGGAUUUACUGGGCGUAAAGCGUGCGUAGGCGGCUUCUUAAGUCGGAUUUGAAAUCCCUGAGCUUAACUUAGGAAUUGCAUUCGAUACUGGGAAGCUAGAGUAUGGGAGAGGAUGGUAGAAUUCCAGGUGUAGCGGUGAAAUGCGUAGAGAUCUGGAGGAAUACCGAUGGCGAAGGCAGCCAUCUGGCCUAAUACUGACGCUGAGGUACGAAAGCAUGGGGAGCAAACAGGAUUAGAUACCCCAGUAGUCCCUGUCUCUUAUAC